CCAUUCUAGGGCAUGUCAUUACUGUUGGUCGGCUGCGUAACGUAGCCGACCUUCUUCCUCUUAAUCCCAUUUUUUACGAAACAAAAAGCCGCCAUUUGUUCAAGGCACAUUGCAGAAGCCAACCCCAAAAGCAAGAACAAAAAUUUCUCUGGGUUUCUGCACAUUCAAUUUUAUGGAUACGGCGAAGAAGAGCGUUGUACUUUCUUUUACGGACGAAAAAGUUCUUGCUGUGAGUUCUGUUUUAAAUGCAAUAAAGGAGCUCGGGGAUGAAGCUGUGGAAAACUGUGAUCCUCACAUUGUCACUCAAGCAUCUUCUAUAAGUCAGUUGCCAAUGGAGUCCUCCUCUGUUGACAUUGUUAUAUCAAUUAGUGCUUCACUUGAAUUUCCUGAUGAUUUGAUGCUUGGGGAUAGUUUGAGAGUUCUGAAGCCCGGUGGAACUAUUCUGCUUUACAAGAGUUUCAAAUCUUAUGAAGGGAAUGCCCAUAAGGCAUUCUUGGCUCUUGAGCGAAAGUUAUUGUUAGCUGGAUUUCUAGAAGCAGUUUGUCUUGAAGUAAAAUCAGUUGUCCCAGCAGAAAAUGUUCACCCGUUUAUGGUGAAGGGUAAGAAGCCUUCCUGGACAGUUGGGUCCUCCUUCGCUUUGAAGAAGGCCUCUAAAAGUUUAUUUAAAGUUCAGUUGGAUGAUGACUCUGAUUUGAUCGAUGAAGACUCUCUAUUAACUGAACAGGAUUUGAAGAAACCACAGUUACCACCUGUUGGUGAUUGUGAAGUUGGAAGUACGAGGAAAGCUUGCAAAAACUGCAGUUGUGGAAGGGCUGAGGCUGAGGAGAAAGUAGAGAAGUUAGGACUCACUAUGGAUCAGCUGGAAAAUCCUCAGUCAGCAUGUGGAAAUUGUGGAUUAGGGGAUGCUUUUCGAUGCAGUACAUGCCCAUACAAUGGUCUUCCACCAUUCAAACUGGGAGAAAAGGUAUCACUCUCUAGCAACUUUCUUGCAGCAGACUUUUAAAUACAAAGUUAUGGGUGGUGUUUCGUGAUUGGUGUUUGUGGGCUAUGGAUUAUUAACAAUAGGUGCAACUAAUGUAAGCGGUUGUGAGUUCUGUCACUGUACUUCGGGACUUACUUGUUCAGCCAAAUUGGGCAGGUUCCCCAGUCAUAAAAAAAAAGUUUGGAUGGUCCAAUCUUCUUCAUGGUUUUGCCAUGCACACCACCUUUUUGGCUGGUGUUAGCAUCGAAGGCUAGUUCGCCUUGGGGCCAUCUUAACCCUGCUGCUGAUGCUGCUUUUAUGCUGUUGGUGUUAGCAUCAUCAGCUACUUUCACCUUAUGGCCGUCUCACCCACGCCAACGUUGUCGUCGUCUUUUAGCUGCUGGUGUUAUUAUUGGCGGCCAGUUAGCCUCCUGAGUCACCCGUGUGGCAGGCGGGAUUACGCACCGUUAUAUUUUGACAUUGUUUUCUUAUGUGUUAAUCGAAUUACUCAAGUCUAAAUUAUCUGCGAAAACAUUAUAAAAAACUUGAAUAAUAAUCAUUUAAGUUCGUCUUAA